UGGGGAAUAUUGCACAAUGGGGGAAACCCUGAUGCAGCGACGCCGCGUGAGUGAAGAAGUAUUUCGGUAUGUAAAGCUCUAUCAGCAGGGAAGAUAAUGACGGUACCUGACUAAGAAGCCCCGGCUAACUACGUGCCAGCAGCCGCGGUAAUACGUAGGGGGCAAGCGUUAUCCGGAUUUACUGGGUGUAAAGGGAGCGUAGGUGGCAAGGCAAGUCAGAUGUGAAAGCCCGGGGCUCAACCCCGGUACUGCAUUGGAAACUGUCGGACUAGAGUGUCGGAGGGGUAAGCGGAAUUCCUAGUGUAGCGGUGAAAUGCGUAGAUAUUAGGAGGAACACCAGUGGCGAAGGCGGCUUACUGGACUGUAACUGACACUGAGGCUCGAAAGCGUGGGGAGCAAACAGGAUUAGAUACC
rnacentral:rRNA from 1 species